rnacentral:misc_RNA from 1 species
AAGUCGUAACAAGGUUUCCGUAGGUGAACCUGCGGAAGGAUCAUUAACACAAUUUUACUGUGGUAAAUCCGUUGAAUUCUCGAAUUCAAUGGUAUCCACCCCAUUAUUGACGAACUUUUCUAGAUGUUAAAACAUAGAGCUAGUCUUUAUGUUUUUAACAUUCUAAACCUUUUUCUAUAUCCACACAAAUUUAAACCCCUUUUACAACAUGUAUUAGACUGAAAUGAAAAUUUUCUAUCAAAAAAUUGAUAAAAACAACUUUUAACAACGGAUAUCUUGGCUCUC